UUUCCGUAGGUGAACCUGCGGAAGGAUCAUUAUUGAAUGAAACACUUCUGGCUUUCUGCUGUUGUGCUGGCCCUUUGGGCAAUGUGCACACGGCUCUGGUCACUUGUUUCUUCUGUUCCACCUGUGCACUGCCUGUAGACACGCUGUGUCUAUGAUAUUUGUUAACACACAACAAUGUUAGUUGGCAUGUUAUAUAUAAUAAUAAAAUAUACAACUUUCAACAACGGAUCUCUUGGCUCUC
rnacentral:misc_RNA from 1 species